rfam:Chelonia mydas contig161682, whole genome shotgun sequence.
CCAAAGACUCUUCUUAGAGCCACCACACGUUUCUGAAAAGGAGCUGU